AAUAAAUAUAUAUAAUAUUUUUUGCUUUUGUUAAAUGUGACCAAUCAGAAGAAGCCACGUCAGAUGAUACUGGUAUCACAAAUAUCAGUGGGCUGAUACUGAUCAAGCAUAUUCUAAUUGCUUUACUAAUAUAAAAAUAAUUUUUGGACUUGUGAUACUCUAAAAAUAUCACCCAUGUACAUGGUCUUAUAAGAUAGUACGAAGGUGAUCAUACAGUUCAACAAAGCGGAACAGAGUAACAAAACACACAAAAGAUCCGAAAGCAUGAAAAGUAGGGAGAAAAAUAAACGUUUUGAAACUAAUUUCGACUAAUUGGGUUUAUCUAGUUGAGUCUGUUUGUCGUUUAUUUUUUCUUUGGGGGCAAUGGAACAUUUUCUACAUUAGCGUUUAUUGCGGUUGCGGUUCUGCUAUUCGCGUUUGAUAAGUUUGCCUUUGACCGAUACAUUUGU
rnacentral:sRNA from 1 species